rnacentral:siRNA from 1 species
AGGCUUUUAAGAUCGGGUUGCU